GAUGAACGCUGGCGGCGUGCUUAAUACAUGCAAGUCGAACGGAGAACCUUUGUAGCAAUACGGAGGUUUCUUAGUGGCGAACGGGUGCGUAACGCGUUGGUGACCUGCCCCGAAGUGUGGGAUAACAGUCCGAAAGGACUGCUAAUACCUCAUGUGGUCAUUGGGAUUAGAAUCUGAUGACUAAAGCAGUAAUGCGCUUCGGGAGGGGCCUGCGUCCCAUCAGCUAGUUGGUAGGGUAAUGGCCUACCAAGGCUACGACGGGUAGGGGACCUGAGAGGGUGGUCCCCCACACUGGCACUGAAACACGGGCCAGACACCUACGGGUGGCAGCAGUAGGGAAUAUUGGGCAAUGGGCGAAAGCCUGACCCAGCAACGCCGCGUGCAUGAUGAAGGUCUUCGGAUCGUAAAAUGCUUUUCUGAGAGAUGAGAA
rnacentral:rRNA from 1 species